CCUACGGGUGGCAGCAGUGAGGAAUAUUGGUCAAUGGGCGCGAGCCUGACCCAGCGAAGUCGCGUGAGGGAUGAAGGUUCUAUGAACCGUAAACUCUGUCUACAAGGGAAUAAAGUGUGGGACGUGAUCUACUUUGUAUGUACCUUAUGAAUAAGGAACGGCCAACUCAGUGCCAGCAGCCGCGGUAAUACGGAGGAUCCGAGCGUUAUCCGGAUUUAUUGGGUUUAAAGGGUGCGUAGGCGGCCUGUUAAGUCAGCGGUGAAAGUCUGUGGCUCAACCAUAGAAUUGCCUUUGAAACUGGGGAGCUUGAGUAUGUUUGAGGCAGGCGGAAUGCGUGGUGUAGCGGUGAAAUGCGUAGAUAUCACGCAGAACCCCGAUUGCGAAGGCGGCUU
rnacentral:rRNA from 1 species